AUUGAACGCUGGCGGCAGGCCUAACACAUGCAAGUCGAGCGGAUGAAGGGAGCUUGCUCCUGGAUUCAGCGGCGGACGGGUGAGUAAUGCCUAGGAAUCUGCCUGGUAGUGGGGGAUAACGUCCGGAAACGGGCGCUAAUACCGCAUACGUCCUGAGGGAGAAAGUGGGGGAUCUUCGGACCUCACGCUAUCAGAUGAGCCUAGGUCGGAUUAGCUAGUUGGUGGGGUAAAGGCCUACCAAGGCGACGAUCCGUAACUGGUCUGAGAGGAUGAUCAGUCACACUGGAACUGAGACACGGUCCAGACUCCUACGGGAGGCAGCAGUGAGGAAUAUUGGACAAUGGGCGAAAGCCUGAUCCAGCCAUGCCGCGUGUGUGAAGAAGGUCUUCGGAUUGUAAAGCACUUUAAGUUGGGAGGAAGGGCAGUAAGUUAAUACCUUGCUGUUUUGACGUUACCAACAGAAUAAGCACCGGCUAACUUCGUG
rnacentral:rRNA from 1 species